AGUGAACGCUGGCGGUAGGCCUAACACAUGCAAGUCGAACGGCAGCACAGUAAGAGCUUGCUCUUACGGGUGGCGAGUGGCGGACGGGUGAGGAAUACAUCGGAAUCUACUUUUUCGUGGGGGAUAACGUAGGGAAACUUACGCUAAUACCGCAUACGCCCUACGGGUGAAAGCAGGGGAUCUUCGCACCUUGCGCGAUUGAAUGAGCCGAUGUCGGAUUAGCUAGUUGGCGGGGUAAAGGCCCACCAAGGCGACGAUCCGUAGCUGGUCUGAGUGGAUGAUCAGCCACACUGGAACGGAGACACGGUCCAGACUCCUACGGGAGGCAGCAGUGGGGAAUAUUGGACAAUGGGCGCAAGCCUGAUCCAGCCAUACCGCGUGGGUGAAGAAGGCCUUCGGGUUGUAAAGCCCUUUUGUUGGGAAAGAAAAGCAGCAGGUUAAUACCCCGCUGUUCUGACGGUACCCAAAGAAUAAGCACCGGCUAACUUCGUG
rnacentral:rRNA from 1 species